ACUCGAAUGGCGCAGUGGUUAGCGCGUCUGUUUUACACACAGAAGGUCGCAGGUUCAAUCCCUGCUUCGAGUA
rfam:Capsaspora owczarzaki ATCC 30864 unplaced genomic scaffold supercont2.1, whole genome shotgun sequence.